rnacentral:rRNA from 1 species
CGGCGUGCCUAAUACAUGCAAGUCGAACGCUUUGUGGUUCAACUGAUUUGAAGAGUUUGCUCAGAUAUGACGAUGGACAUUGCAAAGAGUGGCGAACGGGUGAGUAACACGUGGGAAACCUACCUCUUAGCAGGGGAUAACAUUUGGAAACAGAUGCUAAUACCGUAUAACAAUAGCAACCGCAUGGUUGCUACUUAAAAGAUGGUUCUGCUAUCACUAAGAGAUGGUCCCGCGGUGCAUUAGUUAGUUGGUGAGGUAAUGGCUCACCAAGACGAUGAUGCAUAGCCGAGUUGAGAGACUGAUCGGCCACAAUGGGACUGAGACACGGCCCAUACUCCUACGGGAGGCAGCAGUAGGGAAUCUUCCACAAUGGGCGAAAGCCUGAUGGAGCAACGCCGCGUGUGUGAUGAAGGGUUUCGGCUCGUAAAACACUGUUGUAAGAGAAGAAUGACAUUGAGAGUAACUAUUCAAUGUGUGACGGUAUCUUACCAGAAAGGAACGGCUAAAUACGUGCCAGCAGCCGCGGUAAUACGUAUGUUCCAAGCGUUAUCCGGAUUUAUUGGGCGUAAAGCGAGCGCAGACGGUUAUUUAAGUCUGAAGUGAAAGCCCUCAGCUCAACUGAGGAAUUGCUUUGGAAACUGGAUGACUUGAGUGCAGUAGAGGAAAGUGGAACUCCAUGUGUAGCGGUGAAAUGCGUAGAUAUAUGGAAGAACACCAGUGGCGAAGGCGGCUUUCUGGACUGUAACUGACGUUGAGGCUCGAAAGUGUGGGUAGCAAACAGGAUUAGAUACCCUGGUAGUCCACACCGUAAACGAUGAGUGCUAGGUGUUUGAGGGUUUCCGCCCUUAAGUGCCGCAGCUAACGCAUUAAGCACUCCGCCUGGGGAGUACGACCGCAAGGUUGAAACUCAAAGGAAUUGACGGGGACCCGCACAAGCGGUGGAGCAUGUGGUUUAAUUCGAAGCAACGCGAAGAACCUUACCAGGUCUUGACAUCCCUUGACAACUCCAGAGAUGGAGCGUUCCCUUCGGGGACAAGGUGACAGGUGGUGCAUGGUUGUCGUCAGCUCGUGUCGUGAGAUGUUGGGUUAAGUCCCGCAACGAGCGCAACCCUUAUUGCUAGUUGCCAGCAUUUAGUUGGGCACUCUAGUGAGACUGCCGGUGACAAACCGGAGGAAGGUGGGG